rfam:Gossypium raimondii Chr02_contig_606, whole genome shotgun sequence.
AAUCUAUGCUUCAGACAUUUUCGAAUUAAAUUUUUAAAUCAUUCCCCAGCUUCAUAUAAUGUUUCAUCCUCUAACUGCCAAAAAGAUGUGAUGCCAUUUUUAAGCUU